rnacentral:rRNA from 1 species
GGUUGCGAUCAUACCAGCACUAAUGCACCGGAUCCCAUCAGAACUCCGAAGUUAAGCGUGCUUGGGCGAGAGUAGUACUAGGAUAGGUGACCCCCUGGGAAGUCCUCGUGUUGCAACCC